AUUUAUAUAGUUUAAUAAAAAACAUUACAUUUUCAAUGUAAAAAUAAAUAAUUUUUGUAAAUA
rnacentral:tRNA from 1 species